rnacentral:rRNA from 1 species
ACGAACGCUGGCGGCGUGCUUAACACAUGCAAGUCGAACGGUGAACUCCGCUUGCGGGGGGAUCAGUGGCGAACGGGUGAGUAACACGUGGGCAACCUGCCCUCAGCUCUGGGAUAACUCCAAGAAAUUGGGGCUAAUACCGGAUAUGACCGCUGACCGCAUGGUCUGGUGGUGGAAAGAUUUAUCGGCUGGGGAUGGGCCCGCGGCCUAUCAGCUUGUUGGUGGGGCAGUGGCCUACCAAGGCGACGACGGGUAGCCGGCCUGAGAGGGUGACCGGCCACACUGGGACUGAGACACGGCCCAGACUCCUACGGGAGGCAGCAGUGGGGAAUAUUGCGCAAUGGGCGAAAGCCUGACGCAGCGACGCCGCGUGGGGGAUGACGGCCUUCGGGUUGUAAACCUCUUUCAGCAGGGACGAAGCGAAAGUGACGGUACCUGCAGAAGAAGCACCGGCCAACUACGUG